rnacentral:rRNA from 1 species
GCCUAUAUAACAAAACCAUAAACUUUACUAAUUAAAGAAAAAUUUCAUAAUAUAUAGUAUUUUUUAAAAAAUGUGAUUUAACUUAUAACCGCAAGGAUUAAUACUUUAGGCCUUUAAAGAACUGAUAACCCCACAUCCCUUUUGCAUCAUGGAGAAGCAACAUAAAUAUAAUAAAUUAGGCUCCCGAAUGAUUAUGAGCUACUAACCCUUAAAAAUCAAUGUUUCAUAAUUGAUAAAGUAACUUUUAGUAGAAGUAAUAAGCCUUUCAUAUAAUCAUAUAGCUGGUUUUUCUUUAAAAGCAUCAAAGUGCUGACUUGUAGUAUUACACAUUAUGUUUUUAUGACUACAAAGUUUAAUUUAUUGAGGAUAAGCUCAAUAAAAACUCAAAAAUACUUUAUCACUUAACUUUCCAAGUAGGCUUAAAAGCAGCCAUCUAAUAACGUUUUAGUUACUAAUUCCAAACACUACUUAAUAUUCAUAUAUUAUUAUUUUAGUAUUUAAAGAAACUUAACACAAAACUUUUCAUGUUAAUAAACAGGCAUUCUAUUAGUAUUAACGUAGUUAUUAUUUCAUGACACUUAAAAAAUUUUGAAUCACAAUAAUUACUCUACUCACAAAAUUACAUAAAGCGAACUCGGCAAAUAAAUUCCCUGCCUGUUUACCAAAAACAUCGUCUUUUGAGUUCUUUUAUAAAAGAUAAUGCCUGCCC